AUGGUUGCCACGACGAAGAUCCCGCAGCGGCAGCUCUUCAUCGACGGCGACUGGCGCGCGUCGUCGCUCGGCCGCCGCCUCCCCGUCAUCAACCCCACCACCGAGGCCUCCAUCGGCGAGAUCCCGGCGGGCACCUCGGAGGACGUGGACGCGGCGGUGGUUGCCGCGCGGGCGGCCCUCAAGAGGAACCGCGGCCGCGACUGGUCCCGCGCGCCCGGCGCUGUCCGAGCCAAGUACCUCCGCGAUCACCGCCAAGGUACUACUCUCCUGCUGCUUCCGCGCGCAACUACAACAAUUGGCCAUGUGAUUGCGUAUGUAGAUAUGCUUGGAUAG
rnacentral:rRNA from 1 species